rnacentral:tRNA from 1 species
GGGCAUGUGGCUCAGGGGUAGAGUGCUUGCCUAGCAUGCAUGAGGCCCUGGGUUCCAUCCCCAGCACCACCA